UACGAAGGGGGCUAGCGUUGUUCGGAAUUACUGGGCGUAAAGCGCGUGUAGGCGGCUAUGCAAGUCGGGCGUGAAAUCCCACGGCUCAACCGUGGAAGUGCACUCGAAACUGCGUAGCUAGAGUCCUGGAGAGGAAGGUGGAAUGCUUGGUGUAGAGGUGAAAUUCGUAGAUAUCAAGCGGAACACCGGUGGCGAAGGCGGCCUUCUGGACAGUGACUGACGCUGAGACGCGAAAGCGUGGGGAGCAAACAGG
rnacentral:rRNA from 1 species